rnacentral:rRNA from 1 species
UACAGAGGUGGCAAGCGUUGUUCGGAAUUACUGGGCGUAAAGGGCGCGUAGGCGGUUCGAUAAGUCUUGCGUGAAAUCCCCCGGCUCAACUGGGGAACUGCGCGGGAAACUGUCGGGCUUGAGUUCGGGAGAGGGAAGCGGAAUUCCGGGUGUAGCGGUGAAAUGCGUAGAUAUCCGGAGGAACACCGGUGGCGAAGGCGGCUUCCUGGACCGAUACUGACGCUGAGGCGCGAAAGCCAGGGGAGCAAACGGG